rnacentral:lncRNA from 1 species
UUAUACCCCUUGUCUCCCCAGAAUCUUCUAAAUCAUGCCCUUUUCAUUUUAAAUUUUCUUACCUUGGAUGCACAGAAACUAACACCUGCUGAUCGAUUAUGGCAUCCAAAUACAAAAACAUCCUAUGCACAAGUAAAAUGGAAAGACCCCCUCACGGGCCAAUGGAAUGGUCCUGAUCCUGUACUAAUCUGGGGACAAGGGCAUGUCUGUGUUUUUCCACAGAAUGAAGACAGUGUGCGAUGGUUGCCGGAAUGGCUCGUGCACCAGGUGGAUGUCUCUUCAACAGAAUCUCUUCCUCCUCAUAAUGAUGGCCACAAUGACCAGAUGUGAGAUGUUCUGGGCUUAUGUCCCUGACCCUCCGCUUCUCUAUCCUGUUACCUGGGAAGACCCACCAAUUUCUGUGUACUGUUCGACUAGUGACGGCUGGCACCGUCACAAUGAACAAAUCUUCAGUAGCACGGGAGCUAGCACAAAGAAUCAACAACUGGGAUCUCAUCUUAUUAAAAAGUUUCUGGACUGCAAGAGAAACCACCAACAGAGCUAAGAGA